rnacentral:lncRNA from 10 species
AGUGAUCCUCUCACCUCAGCCUCUCAAAUAGCUGAGACUACAGGCACACACCACUGCACCUGGCUAAAGACUAUAUUCUUAAAGAAUAAAAGUACUGCACUUCACCUCUAUCUCCUGGUAUCUCUUCAAUUCAAACACACCAUUAAUGACUACAAUAUUUUAUUUAAGGCCGGGCGCAUGGUAGUUGGCUACAACUGGAACAGUUUAUCACCUCAGGGUAUUUGAGGGCAAGGAAGAUACAGAAAAAAAAAAAAUUAGGGGUAUGCAACACAGUUUAAGUGCUCAGAAAUAAAUUUUACCACAGUGAGAACGAAACCACAAUGACAUGUUACUAACACUGUGCAGACGUCAUGGUUGAAUGCCUGCGUUCUGUUCCUUCCUGGUGGCAGCCGCCUUGGUUCAUUAGUUCUCAUGUUUGCA